GGGGCCGCCCGCAGAGGGGCGCAUGCCUUCCUGGGGUGAGGACGCUGCCAGGCUCCCAGCUCUGGAGUCACCGCCCCGUGCUAGGGGCAAGAGGUCACCAAAUAUCUAUUGAGUGCUUGCUCUGUGAUCUGGCAGACAACUCAAAGGCACAGAGAUGAAGAUGAAACACACCAUGGAGCCAGGGAAGGGCCUGGAUGCUGUGGGAAACACUACAACAGCCCCCAAGGACUGGGAUCAAUAUUGGAAACCUGUGCUUUAGUUCUUCCACCUCUGCUGCUGCUAUGCUGUGUGACCUCAGGACUGGGCCGACUGGGAGCACCAUGUGGAGAACAGAGACAAACUGGAGUGCCUUGGGGAGGAAGGAGGAGAGCACAGUCUCUGAGUCAGCCAUGAGGCAGAGCAAAUACAAGUGGUCAUGCAGGAAGAAGAGUGCUGGUUCUGCGGGGUCCUAAGAGGGAGAUGUACGGGGGGUGUGCUUUGUUCAAUAUGACAACACUACCAAUGGUUUAGUUCUUACUGCAUGAGCUUUACAUGUGGUGUAUCUUUCUGGCCUUGAAACUAUCCUGCAGGGUAAAACAACUGUCCCCCAUCAUAAGAAAUGAAGGUAACAGUGCAUGUUCUCCCCUCAGCCUGGGACAGCUUCACCAGGCAAAUUCCUGCUCAUUCUCCAGGCCAUCUCCCCAGAGAAGUCCUUCCUCAACCUCAAGAACACAUCGAGUUCUCUGUCUUCUGUUCCCACAGGACCCUGCAGUCACCCCUCCUAGCUCUUGCUGUAACAGUAGACACAUGAUUUCGGUGUAAAUAUGGACAGGACAGGAGGCAGGGCUGGACACUGCUACAUGCCCCAGAACAGUGCCUGUCCUAUGAUAUCCAAGGAAUAAUUAUCUA
rnacentral:lncRNA from 1 species